UUUUAUGAGAGUUUGAUCCUGGCUCAGGAUGAACGCUGGCGGCGUGCCUAACACAUGCAAGUCGAGCGAGGGUUUGCUCAGUAUUGAGUAUUCUAAAGA
rfam:Peptostreptococcus stomatis DSM 17678 contig00031, whole genome shotgun sequence.